rnacentral:misc_RNA from 1 species
UGUGGGAGCGAGCCUGCUCGCGAUAGCGUCGGAUCAGCAACAUUGAGGGUGACUGUUACACCGCUAUCGCGAGCAGGCUCGCUCCCACA